CGCCUCUAGGACCUCCAGGUUGGCCGCCUCCAGGCACACCGACUCCAGGCCCGCCGUUGCCUCCAGGCCCUCCAGGUUGGCCACCACCUCCAGGCCCUCCAGGUUGGCCACCGCCGCCAUGUGGACGCCACCUCCAGGCCCUCCAGGAUGGUCUCCACAAUCCGCCUCCAGGACCUCCAGGUAGUCCGCCUCCAGGAUGGCCGCCUCCAGGCCCAUCGACUCCAGGACCUCCAGCUCCCACAGAUCUCACUGAUGCCCUACUGUGCAGCCUUGAGUGAGGUAUUAUUUAACCCAACCGCCAGCCACACACCUAGCCUACAUCCUGGAUCCUGGUCCUAGUGGCUGAGAAUGCAUCUGACAUUGUUCAGAACACCUCAGAGUUGCUGUGGCUGCACGUCAAAG
ensembl:lncRNA